rnacentral:tRNA from 1 species
AAAUUAUAAGUAAUUUGUUUUGAAAACAAGUUUUAAAGUUUUGACUUUGUAAUUUUU